rnacentral:rRNA from 1 species
CCUACGGGAGGCAGCAGUGGGGAAUAUUGCACAAUGGGGGAAACCAUGAUGCAGCGACGCCGCGUGAGUGAAGAAGUAUUUCGGUACGUAAAGCUCUAUCAGCAGGGAAGAAAAAAAGUCCUUUGGACUUUGGACGGUACCUGACCAAGAAGCCCCGGCUAACUACGUGCCAGCAGCCGCGGUAAUACGUAGGGGGCAAGCGUUAUCCGGAUUUACUGGGUGUAAAGGGAGCGUAGACGGCAGCGCAAGUCUGGAGUGAAAUGCCGGGGACCAACCCCGGAACUGCGUUGGAAACUGGGCAGCUGGAGUGCAGGAGAGGUAAGCGGAAUGCCUAGUGUAGCGGUGAAAUGCGUAGAUAUUAGGAGGAACACCAGUGGCGAAGGCGGCUUAAUGGACUGUAACUGACGUUGAGGCUCGAAAGCGUGGGGAGCAAACAGGAUUAGAUACCCCGGUAGUC